GCCCGCCUAGCUCAAUCGGAUAGAGCGUCAGACUCUUAUGCGGGCGAUCUGAAGGCUGCGAGUUCGACCCUCGCGGUGGGCU